GAAGGGGAGAGUGGAAUUCCAUGUGUAGCGGUGAAAUGCGUAGAUAUAUGGAGGAACACCAGUGGCGAAAGCGGCUCUCUGGUCUGUCACUGACGCUGAGGCUCGAAAGCGUGGGUAGCGAACAGGAUUAGAUACCCUGGUAGUNCACGCCGUAAACGAUGAGUGCUAGGUGUUAGGCCCUUUCCGGGGCUUAGUGCCGGAGCUAACGCAAUAAGCACUCCGCCUGGGGAGUACGACCACAAGGUUGAAACUCAAAGGAAUUGACGGGGGCCCGCACAAGCGGUGGAGCAUGUGGUUUAAUUCGAAGCAACGCGAAGAACCUUACCAGGUCUUGACAUCCCGAUGCUAUUCUUAGAGAUAGGAAGUUACUUCGGUACAUCGGAGACAGGUGGUGCAUGGUUGUCGUCAGCUCGUGUCGUGAGAUGUUGGGUUAAGUCCCGCAACGAGCGCAACCCUUAUUGUUAGUUGCCAUCAUUAAGUUGGGCACUCUAGCGAGACUGCCGGUAAUAAACCGGAGGAAGGUGGGGAUGACGUCAAAUCAUCAUGCCCCUUAUGACCUGGGCUACACACGUGCUACAAUGGUCGGUACAACGAGUUGCGAGCCGGUGACGGCAAGCUAAUCUCUGAAAGCCGAUCUCAGUUCGGAUUGGAGGCUGCAACUCGCCUCCAUGAAGUCGGAAUCGCUAGUAAUCGCGGAUCAGCACGCCGCGGUGAAUACGUUCCCGGGCCUUGUACACACCGCCCGUCACACCACGAGAGUUUGUAACACCCGAAGUCGGUGAGGUAACCUUUUAGGGNC
rnacentral:rRNA from 1 species